rnacentral:sRNA from 1 species
GAACUUGUGAAAAACUAGUUAAUAAUUGUAGCGGAUCUACGUUAUUAAUCUUGGGAGACAUUCAUCAAACUAAACUUUAUUACAAACAAUUAUGUUU